AACGAACGCUGGCGGCAUGCCUAACACAUGCAAGUCGAACGAGACCUUCGUGUCUAGUUGCUCACGGGUGCGUAACGCGUGGGAACCUUCCCUUAUGUUCGGAAUAACCCUCCUAAGGGGGUGCUAAUACCGGAUAAUGUCUGCGGAUCAAAGAUUGAUCGUCCUUGUAUGGGCCCGCGUUGUUCUAGCUAGUUGGUAGUGUAAAAGCCUACCAGGGCUACGAUCCAUAGCUGGUUAGAGAGGAUGAUCAGCGACACUGGGGGUAGGACACGGCCCAGAAUACUAGGGGAGGCGGGAAUGGGGAAUAUUGGAAAACGGGGGAGAGGAUGAUGGAGCAAUGCCGCGUGAGUGAUGAAGGCCUUAGGGAUGUAAAGCUCUUUUACACGGGAUGAUAAUGACAGUACCGAAAGAAUAAGCUCCGGCUAACUCCGUG
rnacentral:rRNA from 1 species